UUUUUUUUGACGUCUAGAUUUAUUAUUUAUUGCAAAUUAUGAGAACUGUUACAUAAACAAUUCUACAACGGACAAUUCCUUCCGACCCUUAUUAGAUCCACGACAGACGACACUUCUUUCUCCAUGCUCUUGACGGACACCUUCAAUGAUCCACGACCUGACGACACUUCUCUCUAUGCGUAGAAUCCUGGCGAACGGCUAUAAUUGUAUUUCGCUGGAGAUCUCCUGCACACUUGCCUCCUUUAAUCUGCAAAUUUAUUAAUAAAUCGCAAUAUCUG
rnacentral:lncRNA from 1 species